AUUGAACGCUGGCGGCAGGCUUAACACAUGCAAGUCGAACGAGUGGCGGACGGGUGAGUAAUGCUUGGGAAUCUAGCUUAUGGAGGGGGAUAACUACGGGAAACUGUAGCUAAUACCGCGUACCCUAGGAUGAGCCCAGGUGGGAUUAGGUAGUUGGUGAGGUAAAGGCUCACCAAGCCGACGAUCUCUAGCUGGUCUGGGAGGAUGACCGGCAACACUGGGACUGAGACACGGCCCAGACUCCUACGGGAGGCAGCAGUGGGGAAUAUUGGGCAAUGGGGGCAAGCCUGAUGCAGUAAUGCCGCGGGUAUGAAGAAGGCCUUAGGUUUGUAAAGUCCGUUCAUCGGGGAGGCGUUACCCGCAGAGAAAGCCCCGGCUAACUCCGUGCCAGCAGCCGCGGUAAUAC
rnacentral:rRNA from 1 species